rnacentral:misc_RNA from 1 species
GAUGAAGGAACGCAGCGAAAUGCGAUACGUAAUGUGAAUUGCAAAUUCAGUGAAUCAUCGAGUCUUUGAACGCACAUUGCGCCCCCUGGUAUUCCGGGGGGCAUGCCUGUCCGAGCGUCAUUGCUGCCCUCAAGCACGGCUUGUGUGUUGGGCCCCGUCCUCCGAUUCCGGGGGACGGGCCCGAAAGGCAGCGGCGGCACCGCGUCCGGUCCUCGAGCGUAUGGGGCUUUGUCACCCGCUCUGUAGGCCCGGCCGGCGCUUGCCGAUCAACCCAAAUUUUUAUCCAGGUUGACCUCGGAUCAGGUAGGGAUACCCGCUGAACUUAAGCAUAUCAUAAGCGGAGGA